ensembl:lncRNA
AUGUUCUAUCUGGCUGUCAGGAACUUCAUAGUGGCAGCAAAUACUUCAGAAACUCUUCAGUUCUGCUCUUUGAGAUGGGAUGCAAUGGAUCACUAUCCCAUGCAACAAAUAUUUAAUCCACAGCAGUAUCUGCCUGAGGGCUUUUUAAAGGUCAGACUUACCAACCACGUGGAAAAAAGGCAGUGGGCUAGAAGACAGCUGAGUCUUUAUGAAGGAUGGAAGUCUAAGCAUGAUUUGCAAUUGCUCCCUCUAUGAUGGGAUGGAAAUGGUGGUAACCAACAGGAAAAGAAGAAAGCUACCUAUGAUCACAAGCAAGGCCAUGCAAUCAUCCAGAGACAAGAAAAAAGGAGGUGAAGCAUACAAGUGUUUUGGUGCUGUAAGGAUAAAAGUCACUCUUGCAAUUCUCCAAGGAGAGAAGAGGUCAUGUGUGGAACUGUGGUGAAAGCACCCUGGGAAUUUUCUAAAAGGCCCUGAAUUACUCUUUUUGACAAAGCAAUUAAAAUAUAAAAAACAGAGGAAGUCACCCACUACAUACAAAAAUUUAUAGAGAAUGGAAGGUACUUUUAUCCUGUCAGUAUGAUUGAGAACUGAGCAAAGUCCUCACAAAAAGGACUUGCAGCAGAAAGGACGGCAGAGUUCAGAUCAGCAUUUAAUGAGGCGAGACAACACAGAGCAGCACAAGUCCAGUGUUUGGACAUCAAGUUGUGAUUGCAGUGCUGGCAGCAUGACCACAACCCAGGACCAUCCAAAUUUGCUACUCUAACCCAUGUUACCAAUACUGCCUUUCUCUGUUCCACGUGAUCUUGUGCCAAGGUGCAAGGAAGGUCCAUGGACACUUAACUUCAUAUUGAGGUACUUUGUACUUCAUUAGCCUGGAGAUCUGCCUGCACUCUUCUGUCUAGUGAAAGAAAGGUAAACUGUUACAAAAUAUCAUAGUGAGAAAUUAUAAACCCAGGUGUAUUAUACAGAUUAUUGUGACCUCUGUCCAUACUGGAGUUAACAUUUGACCAUGUCAGCUUGCAUCAAAUUCCACCUGAAAAUGUUUCCUGAAUCAAGCAGAAGAAGAAUGCAGGUUCUAGACUCAGAUUUAGGUUGUGAGGGGUGAGCAAUUGCAAAUGGCUUGAAGAGAGGCUGUAUGCAUGCUGUAUGUUGUACAGAGCUCUGUCUCUGGAGAGCCUCUGGAGCAGGUCAGGAUCUCUGUGGGAAAAGGACAGCUGAAUGAUGACUGUUUAGGCAUCAGACCACACACGUUUGCCCAAAUCCAAUUUCAGAACAGCUGAAUGGCUGAUGUAGAUGAUCUAAUAGCUUUUUAAUAGACCUAGGUUUGUGUGUUGAUUUACGACCUUCUCGGUCAUAAUUGGAUAUGACCAGCCAAGCCCUUCCAGGGCUUUUUCACAUGGUGUCUUUAAGACCUGAGAACAUAUGGGGUUACAACUAUGUUCACAAAAAUUAUAUAUGCAUAUUGACUGGUGAUUUUAUCACCCAAGGGCUACGUGUAAAAAAUGUAUUCUCUCUGGCCUCGUAAAUAGCAGUGUGCAGUAUUGACCAGUAGAGAGGGGUUGUCUCAUUUUUGGCCAGCACCAAAACAUUCAGUGUUUCAAAUACUGUUAAAUUUUUAUUUUAAAUAUUUGUUAUUAAAUAAAUUUAAUAAACAGCAGACUGCUGUCUGGGAG